rnacentral:rRNA from 1 species
UACACUCCUGCGGGAGGCAGCAGUGGGGAAUAUUGGACAAUGGGCGCAAGCCUGAUCCAGCCAUGCCGCGUGAGUGAUGAAGGCCCUAGGGUUGUAAAGCUCUUUCACCGGUGAAGAUAAUGACGGUAACCGGAGAAGAAGCCCCGGCUAACUUCGUGCCAGCAGCCGCGGUAAUACGAAGGGGGCUAGCGUUGUUCGGAUUUACUGGGCGUAAAGCGCACGUAGGCGGACUAUUAAGUCAGGGGUGAAAUCCCGGGGCUCAACCCCGGAACUGCCUUUGAUACUGGUAGUCUUGAGUUCGAGAGAGAUGAGUGGAAUUCCGAGUGUAGAGGUGAAAUUCGUAGAUAUUCGGAGGAACACCAGUGGCGAAGGCGGCUCACUGGCUCGAUACUGACGCUGAGGUGCGAAAGCGUGGGGAGCAAACAGGAUUAGAAACCCCAGUAGUCCCAUGA